CCUACGGGAGGCAGCAGUGAGGAAUAUUGGUCAAUGGGCGUAAGCCUGAACCAGCCAAGUCGCGUGAGGGAUGAAGGUUCUAUGGAUCGUAAACCUCUUUUAUAAGGGAAUAAAGUGUGGGUCGUGUCCUGUUUUGUAUGUACCUUAUGAAUAAGGAUCGGCUAACUCCGUGCCAGCAGCAGCGGUAAUCCGGAGGAUCCGUGCGUUAUCCGGGUUUAUUGGGUUUAAAGGGUGCGUAGGCGGCCUUUUAAGUCAGCGGUGCAAGUCGGUGGCUCAACCAUUGAAUUGCCGUUGAAACUGGGAGGCUUGAGUAUGUUUGAGGCAGGAGGAAUGCGUGGUGUAGCGGUGAAAUGCUUAGAUAUCACGCAGAACACCGAUUGCGAAGGCAGCCUGCCAAGCCAUGACUGACGCUGAUGCACGAAAGCGUGGGGAUCAAACAGGAUUAGAUACCCGAGUAGUC
rnacentral:rRNA from 1 species